AAGGACUGAAGCUAGGUAUUCCUAGAACAUCACAUGAGCACCCGAGUAACUUCUUACUCAAGAAGGCCCUGUGUCUCUGAAGGUGGCAUGUACGAGCGGGCAGAGAACACCAGGGAGCUUGCUGGAAAUGCGGAAUCUCAAGACUCACUUUAGGAAAGAUCCCCAGGAGAUGCAGAGAAGACUGAGAAGUACUAACUCUUUUAUCAAUGCAAUGCACCUCCAGAGUAAAGUGCAGGAAACAGCCACAUUAGUAGAAGCCGGUCAGCUCUGAAGCUGCUUCCAUGUACAACCCUGCCAACACAGCCUGAUGGGAAGGGCUGCCGGGGGAACCAGCCAAAGAACUGUCGCCAAGUUCAGCCUAGUGUCUCCUACUGGAAAUGUCUCCUUACUCAUUGCAUGAGGAUCUAGCAUAUGCAAUGACUGUACAUGAACAGAAAUACAAAAGGAAGAAAACGUAGCUCACCCAGCAGAGAAAUUAAAAAGGCACCAAGAGGCAACAUGUCAUGCAGGCAUAUGAUAUAUACGAGCCCGUGCAUAAGGCAGCCUCUUAUUAACCACAUGUGUGUUCUUCACAUACCUCUUUGGGCUUCAAUUAUCUUAUGAGGAGCUUAGAGUACAUCAUUGAUUCUCAUCUCCGGCUGAACAUUAGAUUUAUCUGAAGACCUUUAAAAAAUACCCAUAUAUUACUCCAAUUCUAA